UGGGGAAUUUUGCACAAUGGGGGAAACCCUGAUGCAGCGACGCCGCGUGAUUUAGAAGGCCUUCGGGUUGUAAAAAUCUUUUCUAUGGGAAGAAAAUGACAGUACCAUAGGAAUAAGGACCGGCUAAUUACGUGCCAGCAGCCGCGGUAAUACGUAAGGUCCGAGCGUUGUCCGGAAUCAUUGGGCGUAAAGGGUACGUAGGCGGGUAAGCAAGUUAGAAGUGAAAUCCUAUAGCUCAACUAUAGUAAGCUUUUAAAACUGCUCAGCUUGAGGUAUGGAAGGGAAAGUGGAAUUCCUAGUGUAGCGGUGAAAUGCGCAGAUAUUAGGGGGAAUACCGGUGGCGAAGGCGAGUUUCUGGCCAUAACCUGACGCUUAGGUACGAAAGCGUGUGUAGCAAACAGG
rnacentral:rRNA from 1 species